AACGAACGCUGGCGGCAGGCCUAACACAUGCAAGUCGAGCGCCCCGCAAGGGGAGCGGCGGACGGGUGAGUAACGCGUGGGAACGUACCCUUUGCUACGGAAUAGCCUCGGGAAACUGGGAGUAAUACCGUAUGUGCCCUUCGGGGAAAGAUUUAUCGGCAAAGGAUCGGCCCGCGUUGGAUUAGGUAGUUGGUGGGGUAAUGGCCUACCAAGCCGACGAUCCAUAGCUGGUUUGAGAGGAUGAUCAGCCACACUGGGACUGAGACACGGCCCAGACUCCUACGGGAGGCAGCAGUGGGGAAUCUUAGACAAUGGGCGCAAGCCUGAUCUAGCCAUGCCGCGUGAGCGAUGAAGGCCUUAGGGUUGUAAAGCUCUUUCAGUGGGGAAGAUAAUGACUGUACCCACAGAAGAAGCCCCGGCUAACUCCGUG
rnacentral:rRNA from 1 species